UGCUCAGUUGUAUCGCUAUUA
rnacentral:piRNA from 1 species